GAGGCUUUCAUGUACAUUCCUGGACAGAGA
rnacentral:piRNA from 1 species